GAGUUUGAUCAUGGCUCAGAUUGAACGCUGGCGGAAUGCUUUACACAUGCAAGUCGAACGGCAGCACGGGGGCAACCCUGGUGGCGAGUGGCGAACGGGUGAGUAAUACAUCGGAACGUGCCCAGUCGUGGGGGAUAACGUAGCGAAAGCUACGCUAAUACCGCAUACGAACUCUGGUUGAAAGCGGGGGAUCGCAAGACCUCGCGCGAUUGGAGCGGCCGAUGGCAGAUUAGGUAGUUGGUGGGGUAAAGGCUCACCAAGCCGACGAUCUGUAGCUGGUCUGAGAGGACGACCAGCCACACUGGGACUGAGACACGGCCCAGACUCCUACGGGAGGCAGCAGUGGGGAAUUUUGGACAAUGGGCGCAAGCCUGAUCCAGCCAUUCCGCGUGCAGGAUGAAGGCCCUCGGGUUGUAAACUGCUUUUGUACGGAACGAAAAGGCUUUCUCUAAUACAGAGAGCUCAUGACGGUACCGUAAGAAUAAGCACCGGCUAACUACGUGCCAGCAGCC
rnacentral:rRNA from 1 species